rnacentral:rRNA from 1 species
GAUGAACGCUGGCGGCGUGCCUAAUACAUGCAAGUCGAGCGAACGGACGAGAAGCUUGCUUCUCUGAUGUUAGCGGCGGACGGGUGAGUAACGCGUGGAUAACCUACCUAUCAGACUGGGAUAACUUCGGGAAACCGGAGCUAAUACCGGAUAAUAUUUUGAACCGCAUGGUUCAAAAGUGAAAGACGGUCUUGCUGUCACUUAUAGAUGGAUCCGCGCUGCAUUAGCUAGUUGGUAAGGUAACGGCUUACCAAGGCAACGAUGCAUAGCCGACCUGAGAGGGUGAUCGGCCACACUGGAACUGAGACACGGUCCAGACUCCUACGGGAGGCAGCAGUAGGGAAUCCUCCGCAAUGGGCGAAAGCCUGACGGAGCAACGCCGCGUGAGUGAUGAAGGUCUUCGGAUCGUAAAACUCUGUUAUUAGGGAAGAACAUAUGUGUAAGUAACUGUGCACAUCUUGACGGUACCUAAUCAGAAAGCCACGGCUAACUACGUG